UCUACAUUCACAUGUGAUUGUGUCAACAUAUUUGACAGUUUUGUUAACGGCGCAUUAAAUUUAAUGUUUCAUAAACAAGUUGACUGCAGACUGUUGAAGACUGAAAAAAAACGCGUCUACAACGAGCUGACCGCAGACUUUUUUGUUUUAUCAAUUUGGCAAACAUUUUUGAGUGGAAAUGAAAAACUGAUUUUCAUCCAUCAAACUGCAACGAAAUUCAACUAUGGAUGACGUCAAAAAAAUAUGGGCGAGGCGAUCAAUAGACCCUGGAAUCAUCGACGAGGAGCAAUUGAUCGACGAUUGUUUGGAAUUUAAAUUACAAAGAAAGCACAUUAAGUAAAAUGGAAUAACUGAAUAUGGACCAGAAUUUGCUGGAAUAUCCUGGGUCUAGAGCGGCUCAUCUUCUAUCACUACAACUUUAGAAAAAUCUUCAAUAACUAAAUGAUCGAAUGACAUAAUAAGCAAAAAUGUCACCAAACACUUGUACUUACCUCUGAAUAAACACAUCUGAUUUGCAAAAAUAUGCAAA